rnacentral:tRNA from 1 species
GUCUUCGUGGCUCAGUUGGUUAGAGCGCCGGUCUCAUAUUAUAUCCCAAUAUAAUUUCUCUAUGACUCGAUCGUUACAACGGUUGGGAAAUCCGGAGAUCGCCAGUUCGAUCCUGGCCGAGGACA